rnacentral:rRNA from 1 species
GGCGUAAAGCGCGCGUAGGCCGUUGAGUUAGUUAAUUGUGAAAUCCCAAAGCUUAACUUUGGAACUGCAAUUAAAACUGCUCGACUAGAGUUUGAUAGAGGAAAGCGGAAUACAUAGUGUAGAGGUGAAAUUCGUAGAUAUUAUGUAGAACACCAGUUGCGAAGGCGGCUUUCUGGAUCAACACUGACGCUGAGGCGCGAAAGUAUGGGUAGCAAAGAGGAUUAGAUACCCUCGUAGUCCAUACCAUAAACGAUGAUUGCUAGAUGUUGGAAAUUUAUUUUCAGUAUCGCAGCUAACGCAUUAAGCAAUCCGCCUGGGGAGUACGACCGCAAGGUUAAAACUCAAAUGAAUUGACGGGGACCCGCACAAGCGGUGGAGCAUGUGGUUUAAUUCGAAGAUACGCGCAGAACCUUACCAACCCUUGACAUGUCUGUCGCGAGUUUAGGAAACUAGACUUUUCGGUUCGGCCGGACAGAACACAGGUGCUGCAUGGCUGUCGUCAGCUCGUGUCGUGAGAUGUUGGGUUAAGUCCCGCAACGAGCGCAACCCCUACUUUUAGUUGCCAUCAGGUAAUGCUGGGCACUCUGAAAGAACUGCCAGUGAUAAGCUGGAGGAAGGUGGGGAUGACGUCAAGUCCUCAUGGCCCUUACGGGUUGGGCUACACACGUGCUACAAUGGUAGUGACAAUGAGAUGCAAGGUGGCGACGCUAAGCUAAACUCAAAAAUCUACCUCAGUUCGGAUUGCACUCUGCAACUCGAGUGCAUGAAGCUGGAAUCG